rnacentral:rRNA from 1 species
AUCCAGACUCCUACGGGAGGCAGCAGUGGGGAAUAUUGCACAAUGGGGGGAACCCUGAUGCAGCGACGCCGCGUGGGUGAAGGAGCACCUCGGUGCGUAAAGCCCUAUCGGCAGGGAAGAAAAGCGAACAGGUUCGCCUGGACGGUACCUGACUAAGAAGCCCCGGCUAACUACGGGCCAGCAGCCGCGGGAAUACGUAGGGGGCAAGCGUUAUCCGGAUUCAUUGGGCGUAAAGCGCGCGCAGGCGGGCCGCUAAGCGGGACCUCUAAUCUUGGGGCUCAACCUCAAGCCGGGUCCCGAACUGGCAGCCUCGAGUGCGGUAGGGGUAAGCGGAAUUCCCGGUGUAGCGGUGGAAUGCGCAGAUAUCGGGAAGAACACCGAUGGCGAAGGCAGCUUACUGGGCCGACACUGACGCUGAGGCGCGAAAGCUAGGGGAGCGAACAGGAUUAGAUACCCGAGUA